rnacentral:tRNA from 1 species
GCGUCGGUGGUGUUAUGGCGUAGAGCAUUCCCGCCCGGUCAGAUGGAGAUGCGGGUUCGAGUCCCGCCCGGCGCU